rnacentral:rRNA from 1 species
GACGAACCGUGCGAACGUUGUUCGGAAUCACUGGGCUUAAAGGGCGCGUAGGCGGCCGGGUUGGUCGUGGGUGAAAUCCCCAGCUUAACUGGGGAACUGCCUACGAUACUGCCUGGCUCGAGGGAGGAAGGGGCGGUCGGAACUGUCGGUGGAGCGGUGAAAUGCGUUGAUAUCGACAGGAACGCCGGUGGCGAAAGCGGACCGCUGGCCCUCUUCUGACGCUGAGGCGCGAAAGCCAGGGGAGCGAACGGG